GCAGAGGGUGCACUGGCAGGCAGUGCCCUCUCUGUAGCCCCACCCCGUCACUGGCCGCCACUGCACCCAGCUCCCUUCAGAGCAAGAGGAGGGGGGUGCACUGGAGCUCUUUGCUAAAGCAGGAAGCCCAACCAACAGACCCUCUUCGAGUUCAUGAUAAUGCUUUCUAAACAGCUAUGGAGGUCGGAGGUCGGGGAAGGCACUCAUUAGGGCAAUUUAGGAGAUUAAGCAGAUCUUCACUUCAGAACCCAGCCCGGCACGCUCUCAGACGCGAUCUCUUUUGGCCAUGAAACCCUGUGCUUGCCAAUACCUCUUGGUAACGCUUUGGAAGGAACCACCCAUUACUUCUCCCAGUCGUUUUUGGAAGUUCAACCUGGGGUCAACACAGGCUAAGCAAUAGGAGAAACACCCAGAAGAGCCAUGUGGGGCAAGAAGGAUCUCGGGUGUGGGCGGCCCCGGGCGGCUCCUGCACCUGUCACGUGCUUACCUUAAACACACUCCACUGGCCGCUAGUCCAGGUUUUGCCUGGCAACCUCAAGCAUGGACGGUGAAGGUGAGUGAGCACCAGGGGCGAGCCCGUCCCCUCUGGGCCUGGGUGUCCCUCCACCCUGGGUUCUGCUCCACCCUCUCACUUCUUUGCUUAGCCACAGGAUUUGAAGUCACUCUGGACACACCCAAUUGAACACAAGUUCAAUGAUAUCCCUGCUGCUGGGUAACUGGGAACCCCUUUGGUCCUUUCCUCCAAACCCUUGUCCCUUUGUCAUUGCCCCCUCUCCGCUCUGAUCAGACAUUAGGAAUCUGGGGUCCAGUUUUGAAGACGUUUCCAACAUCUUCUUUCUCUCGGCUACAUCUGCAUCUUCAUCUCACAGAUGAAGAGCAAGUUGGGGAAGGUGAUGAAGACCGAGAAGCCACUGGGCAGGAAAAGGGGUCCCUAGGCUGGGACACAUCACAGAAAGGGAAACGCGCCCUUCAAGCCGCAGGUGCAGAGACUACGGGACAGCUCAAGGUCAGCCAAGGCGCAGGGACCCCUCCCGCCAGCCUCCCUCGCUGCCUCCACGGCCCCCAAGCCCACACUCGGAGCAGAACCGCCCCUGGCGCUUCCGACGAUGGCCUCUUAUAUUAUUUCUAGAUCAAAUUUGUCGUGAAUACUCGCCAGAAACUUUAAACUGCCAGAAAAAAAAGAGCAAUCUGGAUUCAGCGCCUCCCAGUCUCCCAAACCAGUUUCUUUUGUUGAUGUUUCCUUUUGAACAAUAUCUCCUGCCUGGGAAAUGCGGGACCCCUCUACAAGGACGUGGCUGGGCGGCAGGGGGCAAGCCCCGGGGUGAGCUUGCUCCUCAAAGCGAGCGGGACGCGCAGCAAAGAGAGCGUCAAGGAUAAAGCCCGCCUGACCCGCUUCCAACCUCUGACACAGGGUGCGCAAUUGAUUUUCCCACCUACACCCUGGAGACUGGAUGCACGGCAGGUGCAUGUGUGUGUGUGUGGGGGGGCUUCCGGGCGCAGCCCCUGCCCCGGAUCCCGGGCUGGGACCCUCGCGCCUUUAAGAGCCCGCCCCACAGCCGUGCAGAUCCCCUGCGAGAACGCACGCCUGAGUCCACCGUCCCUUCCCCGGCCCGGUGCGGGGCGCGCCAGCCACUCACAAACU